GAUGAACGCUGGCGGCGUGCCUAAUACAUGCAAGUCGAGCGAACAGAUGAGGAGCUUGCUCCUCUGACGUUAGCGGCGGACGGGUGAGUAACACGUGGAUAACCUACCUAUAAGACUGGGAUAACUUCGGGAAACCGGAGCUAAUACCGGAUAAUAUAUUGAACCGCAUGGUUCAAUAGUGAAAGACGGUUUUGCUGUCACUUAUAGAUGGAUCCGCGCCGCAUUAGCUAGUUGGUAAGGUAACGGCUUACCAAGGCAACGAUGCGUAGCCGACCUGAGAGGGUGAUCGGCCACACUGGAACUGAGACACGGUCCAGACUCCUACGGGAGGCACAAGUAGGGAAUCUUCCGCAAUGGGCGAAAGCCUGACGGAGCAACGCCGCGUGAGUGAUGAAGGUCUUCGGAUCGUAAAACUCUGUUAUUAGGGAAGAACAAAUGUGUAAGUAACUAUGCACGUCUUGACGGUACCUAAUCAGAAAGCCACGGCUAACUACGUG
rnacentral:rRNA from 1 species